rnacentral:rRNA from 1 species
GAUGAACGCUGGCGGCGUGCCUAAUACAUGCAAGUCGAGCGAACGGACGAGAAGUUUGCUUCUCUGAUGUUAGCGGCGGACGGGUGAUUAACAUGUGGAUAACCUACCUAUAAGACUGGGAUAAUUUCGGGAAACCGUAGCUAAUACCGGAUAAUAUUUUGCACCGCAUGGUUCAAACGUGAAAGACGGUCUUGCUGUCACUUAUAGAUGGAUCCGCGCUGCAUUAGCUAGUUGGUAAGGUAACGGCUUACCAAGGCAACGAUGCAUAACCGACCUGAGAGGGUGAUCGGCCACACGGGAACUGAGACACGGUCCAGACUCCUGCGGUAGGCAGCAGUAGGGAAUCUUCCGCAAGGGGCGAGAGCCUGACGGAGCAACACCGCGUGAGUGAUGAAGGUCUUCGGAUCGGAAAACUCUGUUAGUAGUGAAAAACAUAUGUGUAAUUAACUGUGCACAUCUUGACGGUACCUAAUCAGAAAGCCACGGCUAACUACGUG